rnacentral:rRNA from 1 species
GAUUCCCCUAGUAACUGCGAGUGAAGCGGGAAAAGCUCAAAUUUAAAAUCUGGCGGUUUUGCCGUCCGAGUUGUAAUCUGGAGAAGUGUUUUCCGUGUUGGACCGUGUACAAGUCUCUUGGAACAGAGCGUCAUAGAGGGUGAGAAUCCCGUCUUUGACACGGACUACCAAUACUUUGUGAUACGCUCUCAAAGAGUCGAGUUGUUUGGGAAUGCAGCUCAAAAUGGGUGGUAAAUUCCAUCUAAAGCUAAAUAUUGGCGAGAGACCGAUAGCGAACAAGUACCGUGAGGGAAAGAUGAAAAGCACUUUGGAAAGAGAGUUAAACAGUACGUGAAAUUGUUGAAAGGGAAACGCUUGAAGUCAGUCGCGUUGUCCGGGACUCAGCCUUGCUUCUGCUUGGUGUAUUUCCUGGUUGACGGGCCAACAUCGAUUUUGGACGGCGGAUAAAGAUGGAGGGAAUGUGGCACCUUAGGGUGUGUUAUAGCCCUCUGUCGCAUACGUCGACUGGGAUCGAGGAUCGCAGCACGCCUUUUUGGCCGGGGUUCGCCCACGUAACGUGCUUAGGAUGUUGGCAUAAUGGCUUUAAUCGACCCGUCUUGAAACACGGACCAAGGAGUCUAACAUGCCCGCGAGUGUUAGGGUGGAAAACCCUUGCGCGUAAUGAAAGUGAAAGUUGGGACCUCUGUCAUGGAGGGCACCGACGCCCGGCCUUGAGCUUUUGUGACGGUGCCGCGGUAGAGCGUGUAUGUUGGGACCCGAAAGAUGGUGAACUAUGCCUGAAUAGGGCGAAGCCAGAGGAAACUCUGGUGGAGGCUCGUAGCGAUUCUGACGUGCAAAUCGAUCGUCAAAUUUGGGUAUAGGGGCGAAAGACUAAU